UGUGUAAGCGAAGCUAUAUGUGGAGCGGUGAAAGGCUCAGUAACGGGCGAUUUAUUUAAUCUCCUGGGACGGACAACAUCGGGAAACUGAUGGGAAAACGUCUAAGUUGCAUUAAUUUUAGUGUGACGUAAACGGAUACGUGCAGGAGAGUAAGAUGCCAUCCUAUCAGUUAGUAAGUAGGGUAAGGGCCUACUUAGACGAAGACGGGUACGGGGAAUGAGGGUUUGAUUCCGGAGAGGGAGCCUGAGAGAUGGCUACCAGGACCAAGGUCAGCAGCAGGCGCGAAAAUUAUCGAAGCCCGCCUAGGGGCGAUAGUGAGGAGACGUGUAUAACGAAGUACGUGUAAAGAACGUACUAAUAACUGGAGGUCAAGUCUGGUGCCAGCAGCCGCG
rnacentral:rRNA from 1 species